GGUAACGGCCAUUAAGUAACGGCAGGUAACGGCCUUUACCUUUAUGUAACGGCUGUAAUGGCCUUUACACACCCAAUUUUAAAAAAUCCAUAAUGGUUAUAACGGUGUGAAUAGGCUUAUUUUUCUUUAAAUAAUGGCCAUUAUGUAACAUAACGACCUUUAUUUAAAAACCACACUUUUACCUUCUAUUUAGAAUUUCUAUUCAUAUCAAAUCCUUCAAAAAUAUCACCACUUGACAUUAAUGCCUGAUUUUACUG
rnacentral:misc_RNA from 1 species